CUGGAAAUGGCGGUGUGCGGUGGUGGUAUACCUGUUGCAUUUGGGAUUUCACUGAGAGAAUAAGAAGGAAUCGACGAUGGACUGCUACGCAACUAUUGCACCACUGAAGGAUGUCUGUGUGCCGGUUUGUGCUCAGUUUCUCAGCCAGUGGGCCUGAGAAAGUGUGCCACAGCAGUCUGUCUAGUGGUGCUCUUUGUUCUGGAAGGACGCAAGCAUUGCAAGGAGCCAUUUGACCUG